rnacentral:rRNA from 1 species
CAGCCGCCGCGGGAAAACGAAGGGUGCAAGCGUUACUCGGAAUUACUGGGCGUAAAGCGUGCCUAGGUGGUGGUUUAAGUCCGUUGUGAAAGCCCUGGGCUCAACCUGGGAAUUGCAGUGGAUACUGGGUCACUAGAGUGUGGUAGAGGAUAGUGGAAUUUCCGGUGUAGCAGUGAAAUGCGUAGAGAUCGGAAGGAACAUCUGUGGCGAAGGCGACUAUCUGGGCCAACACUGACACUGAGGCACGAAAGCGUGGGGAGCAAACAGGAUUAGAUACCCCUGUAGUCCCUGUCUCUUAUAC